UGUCAUAUGGAUAAACUGCUACUUUGCAUUCGACAAUGACUGUCCUUGUGGUGGUUACAAGACAAGCGGCUUCGGGAGAGAUCUCGGUUUGGAUGCCCUCCACAAAUGCCUACAUGUUAAAUCUAUUGUGACCCCACUUUAUAACUCUCCAUGGCUUUAAGAGAAUUUGCUGUCGUCAUAUGGUGGCUCAAAUAAUGUGUAAUUCCAAAUUAUGAGGUAUAUUUGCAAGAAACAAAAUGCAGGUCAUUUUGGCAUUUAGAUGAUGUUAACAGUUUCAUGCUGCAAACCUUACACAAAAAUAAAAAAUAAAAGAUAAAAUGACCUUACCAAAAAAAAAAAAAAGUUUUAUGCUGCAAAACGUAGCUUUUAUGCGCAAUUUCUUUGCUGUCUAUCAUCAAGAGUUUUCUUGUACUUGUUUCCCCCAGAAAGUGAAAAAGAAGGAUGGAAAAUUACUUGGCUUGAAGUUGGAAGAAAAUGAAGAACAAAUUCUGAAAUUUAAGUUGAAGAAAUAACAAAUUAGAGCACGAUAUAACUUGACAUCUCUCUCUCUCUCUCUCUUGCCAUCGCUAACAUCGACACCCCCCAACACACAAUCACAGAAUCGAGGGAGGACUGCAUGAGUGACGCAACUAAAGGGGAGGUGAAUUAUAACUACAUCGGUGAGGAUAGAGACAUUCGAGGAUGGCGAGUGAAUUCUAGUGGCUACUGAAGAAUCUUGGAGGGGAGCCUGGAGGCGUGAUGUGUUGAUUGUCGAAAUGGCUUCCUCAUAUCAACAUAGUUACAAACUUGAAUAUAUUGAAAGAGAAGAAAAAGAUUCACAUAUAUGAUUUAGAUUCUAUGAUUCUUGAUGUAGAACAAUGACAAUUCGAUCCUUUGAUGCUGAAGAUCUUCUCCUCUAUUACCCUCUAGACCCUGGCUCGAUGAGAUUGCCCCUCUUGAAUGUUCCUUAUGUGAGGUAGAGGGUGUGUAUGUUUGAGAAAAUGACAAUUGAGGGUUAGAGGAUGAACCUUAGCCUAUUUAUAGAGUUUUGGCCAAGCCUUUUCAUCACGGGCUUGACCCAACUAGACUCACACAAGCCAAACCCAUAUUCGACUAUUAAGAAACCUUAUACCUUACCUCAUUAGACUAAUCCCAUAAAACGGUAAAUUAUAAUCUCAAUUAUGUAGCCCACAUUAAGAAAAUUCUUACAUUCUCCCACUUAGACUAUAUUAAUUGAGAUUGUACUGUAUGUGCACACUUUUAUAUUGGUUUAGAGAUAAUUCUUAAUAGUCAAUCAUAUCUCAUAAAAUCUCACAUAUUGGAUUAUGGCAGUAAUUCCAUAUACAUAAAAAAAAAUUAAAAAAAAAAACUUGUGUAAAUUUUUAGGUUUUAGGUUUCAAGUUCUACUUACUUAGAAUCUCUCCGUGGAAACAGGUUUUUUUAAUUUUUGAAACUUGGAAUCCACCUUGCUUAUUCUGAAAACUAGACAUGUUUUACGGUUUCAGGUUCUACUCUGAAACCAUAUUCACCUCUAAUUCGAGCUUGAGCAAUAGCAGUUGCUUGAAUGGAGUCGACCUCAAAUUCAUAGAAAAGACAUUCGAGUUGAGCUAGAUCGACCUCGAAUCAAGUCUCGAGGAUUGAAUAUUGAAAUUGAGCCGGGCUCCAAUAUAGAACCGUGUCCGAGCACACGUCCCUACCUGCCCGUCGUUUUCGUGCUCGACUCAGUUUCAGUAGCCCGCGGAGGGAAAAGGAAAACAGAGGACAGAAAAAGGGUUCUGUCCAUUGCUGGCGACGCGUUUCGUUCCUUCGAAUCCACCCUCUUUCUUUCUCGGAGAAUUCAGUUCUUUCGCUCAACGCGUCCUCGAGAAAAAUCCGCCAUGGAAUAUAAAAAAGCAAACAAGCAUGGUUGAAUGCCAUGCACCACCAACUCAUUCUUCGCUCGCAUUUCUUGCUCCCGACCGACCCACUCCCCGACCUUGAUUUAAACAUUUUCUCAGUUCUGGUCUCUUCUUUGUGUUCUGUGUUCUCUCUCUCUCUCUCCUGCGUAUUUGGUUUCUGCAUCAAGACGAGCUCUUCGACAAUCAUGAUGAGACCAAACGCUGUCCAUGUCCGAACUACCGUCUUCGUGUUAUGGUGAUGAUGAUUCUGCAGCUGGGUCACAGGCAGAGCGUGGCUCCUUCGCCUUCACAUGGAGGUUCUUCCAGUGAUGGUGCGUCUAUUUUCGUCGGUUUCGACGAUUUUCACGCUUGUCUUUGGUCACGUACGAUGAAAGAUUUCAACAUGUCCUCCCCUUCGAUCACUGAAUGCAGGGAAAGCGAUCGAUCAAGGAGUAGCUUACGUUCUUUUUCUGGGGGCGCUGGCAAUCACGUACAUCUUCCAUUGAUGCUCAGCUCUUCUGCACGAUCUCUUCAUCAUGCCUCAUCUACUAAUAUCUCUUUAUAGGUUUAUUCUAUUUGCUCGUUUGGAGAGAUUUUGCACUUAGCAGCACCUGCAUAUGUAAUGACAGGAAAUUCGAUGAGCAUUUUUGUAAAUAUAUUGUCAUUCUUUUUAUUAUAAUGGUGGCCGUUGUUGUUGUUAUUAAUAUAGUACAAAUGGAAAGAACUUCUAUUUUUAUGAUUUUUGCUUUGAAAAAUCAUGAUUUGCCGGGCCUAAUUCCCUAAAAUGGCCUUCCAAUUUUAGGUCUACUCUCAAUUAUGCCAUGAACUUUCCUUUGUUUAGAAAAAAACCCAAAACUUUAGGCCCAGUCCUAAAUCUAUUCUGAACUUUUCUUUAUCAUAAAAAAAGACCCCAACUUUAGGUCAAAUCCCGAAUCUAUCCCGAAUUUUUUUGUCUAAAAAAAAUCACUAAUUUUUACUUUAGUCUCAAAUCUGUCCCCAUUAGACCUUUAUCUAAAAAUUGUCGUUAGUAGUCCCUAAUUUUUAUGCCCUAAAAAAGUUUCAAUCUAGAUAUAAUUUUCCAUGUUACCUUGUCGAUGUGGAUUUGUUAUUGAUUUGAAAAUAUCACGUUAAGUUAGGACUCGAUCACGGGAAUAGAUUUGAGAAUAAAUUGAAAGUUGGUGAUUUUUUUAGACAAAACAAAAUUUGGGCCCAAUUUGGGACUAGACCUAAAGUGGGUUAUUUUUUAGACAAAAAAAAUUUAAGGAAGAUUUGAGAUUUGACCUAAAGUUUGAUUUUUUUUAGGCAAAAAAAAAAAAAGAGUUUGAACUAGAAUUGAACUAAAGUUUUAGUUUUUUUUUUUUUUUUUGGGGGAUUAUUCUGAUUUGCUAUCCGAUCUUAAUUCCAUUCGACUCUGCAAUCCUCAAUGCUUGAGCUUGAUUCGAUGAUGCAUUUUAUAAGAUCGAGCUUGACCUUGCUUCACUCGACUAUUGAAAAUAAAUUGCAAGCUGAGCUCAGCUCAAGGAGCUCAAUAUAAGAAAGAUACAAUGACAUUGGUUAGUAAUGUCGAGUAGAUGUCUAAAAGUAACUAAAAUAAGUACAAGUUUAAGUCAAGUCAUGUGUUUUAGAGCUGGAGCUAAGUAUUUCAUAACUUCACUGAAUUGCGAGAUGAAGCAAAGCAAGGGCGGUAAAACAACAAUGCCUCAAUUCCCUUAAAAAGUGUCGACUUCAUCUCAAAUCUCAAUCCUGAACCAAAUUUUAUUUUUCUCAUAAAAAAGGACUAAUUUUUAACUCAGGUUUAUAUAUAUUAUCUCGUAAGAAGACCCCAGCAAUCCAUACGAAGGUAGAAGAUUAUCUAAAAUGACACUGUAAUGGGCAAAAUCGGUUGCAAUUUUCUUGAUUUGGGCCAAAAACGAUCUGGCCCAAAUCAUGUUGGAUUGGGCUUCUGGGUGGGAUGCAUCGCUUACAAAGCAAACCCAACUUUGCCUGGAAGUCCAAGCAUAGGCCCAAGAAUUUGCAGCUUUUUGAUUGGUCCAGCAAUUUCCAAUUUGCAAUUUGAAAUCCUUCAAAGAACCCACAAAUAAAUAGUACAAAAAACAGUUACAGACUUUAGUUGUGGGCUAUCCGAUUUUAGUGGACCCUCCACUUAAAAGUUAACAUAUAAUCCGUUGACAUCUGAUCGCAUAUAUGCACCACCUGUUUCAUUUGAAAAUCCUUAAUUGCAAGUUCUCGUAAAGGGAUUAUUUACACAUAUGGUGAUUCCAAGGCUAUUGGAUUCUUUAACAUCCAGCAAAAUUGAUUCCAUUAACCUUGUAAUGUCAGCAAUUAAUUCGAAGGAUGUUGAUUCGGGUCAACAUCGCGGCAUGUAAUGGCAGCUAAUUUGAAGGAUUUUCAUUGGUGGAUGUUCUAGAAGUCAACCAUCCAAAAAAAGACAAAAAAAUAAGAAGAUAAAGAAGUAAUAAUGCCUUUUGGACCAUAAUUUUGAUUAUUAUUUUUUAUGAUAAUGAGUCGUGGACUGAUAGGUCGAUAUAUCAUAGUCAAGGAUGGUGAGAACGGAGCAUGACUGUCCUAAUUGAGACACGAAACUGACAUUUGCUUGGAUUAUUCAAGGAAUAUACCUGCCUAAUAUCUGGUAUAUAAUACAAUAUUUAUAGCAUAUAUUAUUUAUGAUGUAUGCAUGGAGUAUAGGAAACCUUAUCUUGGUGGAGUCAACCAAAGAGUAAAGAAAGCAAUCAUUUUUUUAUUUUGAUAAGUCAUUAUGAAGUCGGCAUACCGCUACUCAAUAAAAAUUGACCAAAAGAAAAAAAAAAGUUAGACUAGCCGUGGCCGGCCCGGUGUUCAUGAUUUUUUUUCAUUAUUUUAUUUUUGCAAUUUGAAAAUUGUUAAAAAAAUUAAUUGAGGGAAAUUAAUGAAAAACCUUGUUUAAUUAAACUAAUCUGAACAAAGUACAUCUUUAAAUCGAGAACUAAAUUAUACGUAGUGUUGCCCUAAUAAUGGCCACACAUAGAUUACACCAAAGAGGAUUGUCUAACAAAUUUCAUUGCUUUCAAUGCGGUGUGUCUAUGAAAUUUAAAUAAUACGACACAAUUUGCUAAUAUCUCACAUGUUGAUUUUUUUUUUUGUGAAUUAGUUUUUUUAUACUAAUAAUUAUGUGACGGUAUUUUUACUCUAUAAAUUGAGAAGUUAUGAGAGCAUAUGUAUCAUCUCUCGGGGACUUAAAUCUUUGAGGAAUGUGCAUACAUGUUACUCUAACCAACUCAUUUGAUAAUCAUCUUCCGACGGGAUGUGUUUGUGACAUGUAUUAUUUUUCCGCACUUGGCAAGUCCUCGUGAAAUAGCACACCCUAUCACGAGAAUAAUUAUCUAGACAUCACUCACUUAUAUAUCAAGCAUAAAUCGUUUUUUCCAUGUUGUACCCAUAAAGAGUCAAAAGUUGGGCCUAUUUGGGACUAUUUUUGUUUCUUCUUUUUCUUCUACUUUUCUUUUUCAUCUUGAUGGUUUUGUUGAUUGGGGACUCCUAGAUUUGAUGAUGUUAUCAUCUCCCGCGAUGAUUUCUUGACAAUAGUGUAAAGCUCUUUAUCCUCCUAGGUGGCUAGUUGUAGAUACAUCACAGUUAUCUUCUUCACGCUCAGGUCUUUGCUCACAUUACUGCGAGCUCGAGCAUCUUGAUCCUUUGAUUUCGAUUCUAAAAAAUCAUCGCAAAAAUCAAAUGAUCAUCGUAGAUAAUUACAUCUUGCCCAUGCUAGCAUAAGGGUGGUAUUGCCAGACAUGCCAAGGGUUUUUGAGGGGGCGAUGAUGAGGUAGAGAGGAAGCUCAUGAGUGUCUAUGAGAUUGCCUAGUUGUUGGUGUGCAUGGAGGUGUCGGAGGGGGAAGAUGAAGAAGCAUGGCAAUCCAUUUCAACAUAGACGGGAACAAGAAGAAGGAAAGUGAAAGAAAAAGAAGAACUAAAUUCAAAAAAGGGCCUUGCAUUGGCCCCACAUUUGAUUACGUGGGUACAACAUAUAAAAGAUGAAAAAAAAAAGAGGCAAUAUGAUUAAUAUAUUGUAAAAUGGAGUAUUUGAAUCGAAUGAAGAGUGAAAAAAGCUUGAGCUUCGAUAUAUGCAAACUUCUUGUUUGGAUUGUGGAUACCAGCUUGAGCUAUAUUCCUUCUGGGCCAUGACCUUCAUCUACAACAAAUUAAUGUCAUGGUUGGCACCAUGUUUUAAGGGAACGGAUCAGAUGACUAAUUUCGAAGCACAUUUAAUAAAAAAUAAAAUAAAAAUCAAUCCCGUUAUGCCUAGCCACUUCUUAUUGCUCCUCUUUUUUAAUAUUCGUUUGACUUUUUUUUAGGAAUUGUACAUUUUGGAAUAAUUUAAGUGAUUGCUUGCGCUUUGGUCCAUCGCCGCACGUAGGACGAAGGCAAUUGGCAAAAGAUAGAUGAGGUCAACUCCAAUUUUGACAUAGAUUUUUAACGGAAGUUGUGCAGAUUGAUCGUGAUACAAUCUGUAGCAAUAGUGCUGCGAUUAAGGGCAAUUGUCGUAUUUUACUUUUCACACAAGGAAAAAGCUGUCGAAUUUGCUUGUUACUGACCUCUCACCGUUGCAAUCAACCACGCGACGCAUGAGUUUAAAGACCUGGUUAUAAGUAUCAACAACCAGUUAAUCUAAGUCUUUGGUUGAGGCAAGUAACGGUAAGCAUGAUUUUAGGAUAGAACCGGACCUAUUGGAUUCUAUUCAAUUCUAGGUUCUAAGUUUAAAAAAUUUAGGAUUUUGUUUCAAUGAAUAGGUCAGAACAAGUUUUUGUUUAUUUCUUGAUCUAUUUUCAUGCAAUCCUGCAAUGUUCCAUGACAAUCGAUAAUGAGUAUAUAAUUUGGAAUUACUAAUUUAAACUUCAUUUUAAUGACUGAGAUUUUUAAUUUGUUAAUAUUUUAUUAUAUUUGUGUGUCUAAAUGUAAGUUGUGGUCAUUAAAAGAGAUAAUUUAGUGCAAUCGUUUAAUUAAUAAUAUAAAUGGAGUCUAGGUAGACUCUAGGCCUGUGAUAGAAUAUGUUUCAAGUUUUAGGAUAUGUAGAGUAAGUUUUAAGUAUCAAAAAAUGAUGAACUGAUUUUAAUGGAUAGGUUUUGAGUUUAGUUAGAAUCAUUCACCCUAAGAGCAAGUAGACAUUACAAUUUGUACUAGAGUGGAUUCAUGCGAUUAAUGAGAUCUGAAUUGUACUUUCCUUUAAUCUGAAUGUGUCGUCCGUCCGACGCUUUUCAGGGAGAACACGUGCUAGUGCUCUUGCCAAGAAAGCAGUGAAAUGAAUAGAACUUAAACGAGGAAAGUGCAUGCAGCGCGCGGACGUUGGGAUCGAGGGUAAAGAUCGACAAGAGGCAGAGGUUGACCCAGAAUGGGGAGUAAAAAACACAAAAGAAAAGGAGAUGACAAGGACAACGUGGGGUUUGCAGUCGUCGUAGAUAGGAUUUUUAGAUCAGCUUUUGCAGUAUGUUUAGGAAAAUCGAAUCCGAUUCAGAUGAACAUAAUAUUGACUUCUUCUCUAGGGUUAUCUUUGUCCUUCACGUGAGAUCCCCAUGUCUAGACAUCAAGUUAAUAUACGCAUGGACAAUCCAAAAAGGAAGAAACGCGAGACAUUAACAACGAAGCUGAUGGGUAUACCGCAUUUCAAGGGACUCUCUUUCGCUCCAUCUAGGAAUCACGGAUCGAAUCACACAUCAAAUAUCGAGCAUGGAAUUCAUGCUGCAAUAUCCAAAGAGAUUGUUAGGUUGAUAGCUCCCUUUCUGUUUUUGGACUCUUGCCCAACAAGAUAAGACCAAUCAAGUGAUGGAAAUAGUGGUUGGAUAUUUUUAUUGAUACAAAAAUAAGGGAAUUUUUUGCGACAACGGGGAUUUUAUACCCAUCUGUAAUGUGCAAGUCAAAGAAGGUAGAUCAAUUCAAUGAUUGAGGAGAUUGUUGAGUUAUGUCUGGCCAAAAUUUAUAUAGUGUAUAUUUCUCACAUUUCUUUUGUUAGUUGACCAUUUGAAAUGAUGACCCGAUGUGUUGCAUAGACUUGAAUUAUCUCGAGGAUUUAAGUUGCAUCUUGAAUAAUUAAACCUGGCUAGUUAUAAUAAAAUAAGUGAUUUGAUGAUUCGAUGAUCUCAAGGUGAUUUCUCCUCCCGACCUUAGUACUAAUAAAACACCUAGACCAUCAAUUUCUUUUUUCUGUUUAAUAACUUAGGGACUUCCCCCAGAUAUUCAUGUGGAUUGUCAUCGCCCGAAAGUCAAUUUGAUAAGAUCCACGAUCUGACCAAAUGGGCUGCCAGUGCUACUACUACAAGAGGGAAUUCCUUUAUUGGCCUGACCAUCGUUAUCAUCGCAGGUUUUAAUUUUGAAAAAAAAACCGAAGAAGAAUUUAUUAAUAUCGAUGAAAGUGUCGUGGAUGAGAAUGGAUGUAAAUAUAUGUAUGUAUAUUAAUUGUAAAUCAAACUUUUGAAUUUGAUGUUUAUCCUCGUUUUUAUGAGAAUGCCCUUUAAUUUCUCUGUCCUUUAUUAUUUUGUUAAAACCUAUUAAUGGGAUCGAACACUUAUCACCUGCUAAAAAUACAAAAUGGUUAGAGAAACGCAUAUAUUGUGCAUCUACAUAUUCAAAAUAUGACAACCACCCAUUAUUGUGACUUCACUUCUUCCCUGCUUAUCGCCACUUAUUUGUCAAUCCAGACAAUGAUAGCUACCCAUAACAUUGAGCAAGCACAUGUUGAUUAUGACAUUUUCCUUUAUGAUGUCCUUUUGUUAACCUCAAUUAGUUUCAAAUUUUACCAUGUGAAAGCAUUACCCAAUUUGAUUAUUUAAAUUUGCAUACACGUUUUUUCAGAUGGCUAUACUAAUCGCGGAUUUUAAAGAGCACAAGAACAAUCACACCUACUUAAUAUCUAGUUUAUACUUUUAAGUCGAUGAGCUCACCUUUUUCAUAAUAGACAAUUUCGAGAAGGUCAACCCUAAUUGAUGAACGGAUUACCAUUCUUUUCCUACCAAGACCAACUGAAAAAGAAGACCUUUUCUCAUCGGUGGGAAGAUGUGCAUUAAUUGAACCAACUAAAUAAGUUCACGAGGAUCGAGUAUCGCCAACCAAUGCAAUAUUAUAUGUGAAAUAUCAUGUUAAUAUUAGUAUAAAUUUUAAAGUUUUCAAAUUCUUAAAAGUGAAAAUAAGUCAAAAUACAUGCACCAUAAGAUUUGCAAAAUAUGUUAAUUUUAAAACACUUGUACCGCAAAAAGAAAAAAAUAAAAGUUACUCCACAUAUUAAUUGCAAAAUUGUAGGCCUUUUUAUCUCUAAAGUAAAUCUCACAUGUUUUUUGUACGGAGAUAAAGUAUUUUCUUUCAAACGAUAAUCUAUAAUGAAAAAAAGAAAAUCUAGUAAUUGACGUCCUCUGACUUUUAGACCUCUAAUAAUUUCACACACACGCAUAUAUAUUGUUGGCGUGAUUGGUGCUGGCCCUUCUAUAUGGGAAGAAAUUAUUUAGAUUUGUUUGAUUUGGGAAGAAAUUAUGUAGAUUCGUUUUGGUUUAUGUAAUUUUGGGAAUUGCCUUAUUUUUUCGUUGUCUUCUUUUUCUGUACUUCAUCAAUAAAAUGGCAAUCCCUCUCUCAAAGACGAUAUGACAAAAAGAAAAAUUUGAGAGAGGAUUACUCUAGGACAAAGGCACAUUACAGGACCUCGUUAAAUCAUGUCUUCUUGUUUAAUUUCUUCAUGUAUAUAUAUGAAAGAAACAUAAGGCAUGGUCAAGACGUGUGGAGUGGCUAUGCACACAUGUUGACCAGGCCUUACUUUAUGACAAAAAAAUGAAUGUUAUCUGAAGUCUUAUAUCACCCAUCAUUAAAAAAAAAAAAAACCAAGUUGUCUUUUAAAGGGUUUUGUUAAGUUAUCCUUAAAAGAGUUUUGUCCCUUUCCGUAAUAUUCAAAUGGACCAUUAAGUAUGACAAAGGAUCAUUAAAAACUUCAUCUUCGUCAUGUUUAUACAGUUAUUACAUCAUAAAAACUACAUGAAGAGAUAAAAACUUUUCAAGGACUGCAAAUAUAAAGAAACUCCAUCCAGAAUGAAAAAAAAAAGGAGGAUAAGAAAAAAAUGUUAUGAUAUUGCUGGAUGCUAGACAUAUCAUUUGCAUGGUAACUAAAGAAACCGACACAUAAAUCUAGCUCGUACAUUUGUGUCCACAUGAAUUUUGAUCGAAGUCUUGAACUCUUAAUGUAACCGAUUGAAGGGUUUCGUCUCCCUUAACUUAAGAACCAUGAAAAUAAAUUACCACCCGUUAUGGAGCAGGAUGAAUGGCUUUCGGUAAAUAUUUAUUUUGUUGGACUAAAGUCCAAAAGGGAAAGGCUAAAAACAAGGAGGAAUUCAUGGAUAUUAGGUGAAUUGUGUGUCGUGAUUGAUUUUUCCUGUCUUGCCACCUAUGACCAAUAAAUACAUAUUUGUUACUAGAGUUUCUCUUCCCAAAAUAACCCUACUUGUUGCGAGAAGGAAAGCGACUAUCUACCUAUGUUGUCCGUCCUUCCGUGUGUGUCGGACACGUGUCGGAACGUGUCGGACAUGUCGACACGGUCGGACACGUGGUCAAUGCGUGUCGAAUUUUUCGACACGUAGUCAACUUUUAUCGACACGCAUGUCGAUGAGUGUCCGGAAGACUGAUGGAGGGUGGAGGCGAGGGAGGGUGAGGGAGUAGAGGCCGCGAGCGCCGGCGACACGAAGCUACGAAUGGACCACCGCGACGGCGAGAGACGGCUAGAGAAAGAGCCGAAUAGAGAGAAAGAAGAGAGAAGGCAAACUCCCGCUGGCGAGACGAAGCCACGAACGGACCAUCGCGAUGGUGAGAGACGGCCAGAGAGAGGUGAGGGCCACCACUGUUGCUAUGGAUCGGCGACGAGAGGAAGAGGAGAGGAGGGAAGGGGGUCGUGCGGCGCGGCAAGGAGGAUAGGAAAAGGAGGGCUUAGCGGCUCGCUAGUGUUUUUCAUAAAGAAAUCCAAAAAAAAAUAAGAAAGGAGGUCUGAUGGCGUGAGAGAGAGGAGGGGAGGGGAGGAAGUGACAGCUCACCUGUCACUGCCAAGUGGGGGAGGGAAAAAAGUAAAAUAAACGUGGGGGUGGAGGGAAAAGGACGAACGAAAGAAGGGGUGGAUUUUGGGGAUUGUUUUUUUAAUCGGAAAAUUAAAUAAAUAAAAUUAAAAAAUGAUUUCGAAAAAUAAAAAUAUUAAAUUUUGAAUAAUGAUAAAUUUUGGUUAUUGUAGAAUAUUAUGGAUUUAUUUAAAUAAAUUGAUUUUAAUUUCUUAUUAAUUUUUAGUUUCAUCAAUAACUUUUGUUAAAAUUAAAAAAAUGUUUUGCAUUAAUUAUAAAUAUAUCUUUUGAAUUUCAAAUGAAUUGAUUUGUUAAUAUUAUUAGUAUAAAUUUAUUAUAGGUUCUUUUUUUAAUUAAUUAAUUAUUUAUGAAUUUGAAUCAAAUUAGCUAAAAAUAAAAAUAUUUAUUUAAUAUACAACAUGUCGCAACGUGUCGGAAUUCUCUAAUUUUUAGAAAUGAUGUGUCGACGUGUCGUGUCGUAUCGCGUAUCGGUGCUACGUAGCUAUCUACUAUCUCCUAGUAUUAUAUGAAGGAAAGAAAGGACCCUCCCUCCUGCCAAAAAAGUGAGAGAUUGACUGCAGAGGAGAGAGACAAGAUGGCAGAGAACCAGAGCGACGCCAACGGGAGCCUGAAGACUUAUGAUGAACACGUUCCGGAGAUCAAGUUCACCAAGCUCUUCAUCAAUGGCGAGUUCGUCGAUUCUGUCAAAGGUAGAAUUCACCAUCUUCCUGUCAAGUUUUUGGGCUGCCUUGAUGAAGAUUCAUUACACAGAUGGGGUCGUAGAGUUCUGUUCUUGCUAGCCUAUCCUUCUUCUCGAAAAGAAAAAGAGAGAGAAAAGUAAAGUUGUGCCGUGAAGAAAGCGUGACUGAAGUUGGGUUUGGUCUCGUUCGAGCAGUUCGGUUUUCGUUGAGUGAAAUUCACUGCUCUGUCCGGAGUACAGAAAAGAGGGGUAUCCAAAGAAAAGACGACCGUCUAAAUCGAGAAUGACCUUGAGAGAAUCUCACACAUUAUUGCAGUUGACCAUAGGAAAACUCGCAGUCCCCUCGAGUUCUUGUUAUCGUUUGGUUUCUUCUUCUUGUUAUUUCCUUUUGGGGGUUUCUAGCUUGUGAUGGUGAAUGAAAUUGGAUGAGCAGGGAGGACGUUCGAGACGAUAGAUCCAAGAAAUGGAGAAGUUACAGCAAGAGUUGCAGAGGGAGAUAAAGAGGACGUGGAUUUGGCUGUGAAAGCCGCCCGUCAAGCAUUUGAUCACGGCCCUUGGCCACGCAUGCCCGGCUACGUACGUCUCCCCCUUUCUCUCUCCCUUUUUGUCCUCAUUUCAUUUUCGUUUUCCAUCCAAAUUAAAAUAGACAAUACCAGUAGAAAUUAAUUCUUUAAUUCACUCAUGAAUAUUAUUUUAUUGUGAUUACACUAUUAAUUUUAGCCAGGACUUUUGUGUGAGAUAACUUGAGCUCGACAUCUCAUUUAACAAAUUGAUUUCAGCGAAUCGAUUUUUACGUUUGCCAUGUAUCCAUUUUAUUAAUGAAUGGUUGUUGAUAUCAAAGUAAACGUCUUUGAUCAUACCGCAGCAAUUGUAUUUUUUUCUUUUUUCCCUUCUUGGGCAGGGCAACAUGUGGGUAGAUAUGAUUAUGAUUUUGUCUUAUGGCACACCACAUAACGACAAGCCAUGAAGAAAACCAACUAAUAAAAAACAAUAUCAUUGAUCGAUUUAUAUAUAUAUAUAUAUAUAUAUAUAUAUAUAUAUUUAUAUAUUUAUAUAUCUAGUCGAUACAUAAGAUAUUUUCUCCCUUCUUUUUUCUCUGUGCUCUUCCCCAUAUCAUACCAAUACUAUGUUAUAAAUAAUGACAACCUGUAUCAUGUGUUUUCAAACGUGGAAGUGCUCACAAUUACCAAAAAGGACACACGACCAAACCAAGAAAUAGAUUAAUUUGUAAUUUUUAUUCCCUGGGAACGGGCAUCACUCAAUUACACGAACCCUUUCGAUGCUGACAACUUGUGAUUUGUCUCUACGGCUUUGGAUUGACGGUGUCAGGCACCUCCUAGUUCAGAGGGCCAUUAAUCCCCCUAGAAGAUAGGGAAAACUGAAAAAUAUUUGCCGACUGAGAUAAUAUUUAUAAUUUUUUGCUGAAAAUCGUAUUUUAAUUGUCAUCGUCUCAGCCAUUAUAGUCAUGAAGAAGAUAUUUUUUUCAAUUUUCCUCCCAUAUUUCCUGGGGUCAACUUCCUCCUCCCUUCUGACCAAAAAAAAAAAAAAAACUUCCUCCUCUCUUGCUUGCCACUUUGAAAUCACCAAAUGAGGGCCCACUUAGAUUUGAUCUAUAUUUAUGAUCAUGCCAUUAAAAAAUGGGAAAUAUUCUAUGGUGGGAAAUUUGACCUCUUUAAUUUAAUUUAGUCGAGGAAAAAGAUUCUUCGAUCAAUCAUAGAAGUUAUUGUACAUAGUCAGUCUCAAAUGAUAUUCUUAAUUUCAUUCCCAAAUGCUGCAGAUGCACAGGUUUUCUUUUGGAUGUUACAGUUGUUUAUUCUAGAUUAGGAAAAUAUAUAUUUCAGCAUAGCUAACUUUAGCACUUUGUAGAAUGAGUCAAUUAUUAUGAUAAAAAUUAUAUAUUGGGUACGAUACAUUUUUCUAAGAAUACUUCUUUUUGAGAAGUGAUUGAUUUGAUUGAAUUUAUUCUUGGUCUCUGCAUUUGUUUCGAAUGCUACAAAUGCCCCUUUGGAAUACUAGUAAAUUAUUCUGUGCAGCAUAUAUUUUAGUUCAUUAAUUGCUGAGAACGUACAUUUUGGUUCAUUUUCUUGAAUUCAGAGAAGUGUACCAUAAGUCUAGUGUUAUCUUAAUAGAAAACGCUAGACAGUUAGAAUUAGUAUGUUAGGUGAUGUGUAAAACUAUUACAGAUUCUCAAAUUUGGCUUGCUUGUUUAAAGGAUCACUUAUAGUUUGAGAAAUCACUUAGUAAACUAACUUUUUAGAACGAUCUAUGUAAGUGUGGCAUUUUUCUAUUUUAUCCAGUAACCCAAGGCCUUUCUUCUUUCUUUUUUUUUUCCCAUAAUUUUUAUUAUGUAAUCAUAACUAUCUAAAGGCCAAAAGAAUAACCAAAUAGCGAAAUUCAUCUAUCCAAACAUCUUGAACAUCUGUGUAUAUCCAGUUCAUCAUUUGAAACCAUAUCACAUCCUGGAUCUGAUGAAAUAGGAUGAAUUGAGACGGUAUUUUGUAAAUACGUAAUUAUCUUGAAUAUAUUAACUAUUUCUUUAUUUUCUGAUCACUUGGAAGGGACAAAAGAAACAUCUUGUUCUUUCUUCAACAAUUUCUGAUCUCUAGUGGACCUCUCAGUAGGAUUCGAACCCAAAUGAAGUUCUUACCAUCUGUCAGAGAAAAAAGAAAGAAUGAAUCUUGUAGGAUUCCCAAGAAAUUCUUCGAUUUCUUCCGGAAGCAGAUAAUUCUUCAUCUCCUUCUCACGUUCCGUGAAUAGCCGGGAAUAUCCAUAAAGGCAUUUAGAGAAUCUGAUUCUAGCUCUGUUCGUUUCGUUUGAAGAAAGGAAGGAUCCCAAAGAAUUGAUCUUUCUUUUAGUUGUUGAAUCUCUCUUUGAUUGAUCUGUGUAAAAGCAACAUAUCAUUCUAAAUCCUAAUGUGCAUGAAUUUUUAUUUUUGCAUGACAUAUGAAUAUAAAUUUCAUCAACAGCAAAGGGGAAGGAUCAUGUCGAAAUUUGCGGACUUGAUCGAAGAGAACAUAGAUGAACUGGCCGCUCUGGACACUAUCGACGCCGGGAAGACAUUCAGCAUGGGCAAGGCCGUGGACAUCCCUCACGCUGCCACAUGUCUAAGGUAUUAUGCCGGCGCAGCGGACAAGAUCCAUGGUGAGGUGUUGAAGAUGUCGCGUGAACUUCAUGGGUACACGCUGCUGGAGCCGGUUGGCGUGGUCGGGCACAUUAUCCCUUGGAACUUCCCGACCAGCAUGUUCUUUAUGAAGGUCGCCCCAGCACUGGCGGCUGGUUGCACCAUGAUCGUGAAGCCUGCCGAGCAGACCCCUCUAUCGGCUCUCUAUUAUGCUCAUUUGGCUAAGAAGGUACGUUAAUCGACUCGGAAAAGAAGCUUUUUGAGAGCAGAAUUCAUUUUUUCUAAACUGUAAUUGCAUUGUAAGUAGAUUCUUUAAUUAUUUGGAAUUAGUUUUCCGUAGACAAAAUGUAAUAAUUUCGUCAUUUAUCAGUCUAGAAGUUAUGGUUAAUUAGGAAGAGAAUAGUCUAAUCAAAAUAUUAAAGACAGCAAUAGGGGAGCAAGUGAAGACAUGAUUUUGAAUAUCUGUUGUGCCAUAACAAAAUAGUUCCAAAAAACCGUUGUCCCAAAAAGAAAAGAAAAAGAGGAUACACAUGAAAAUUAUUUAGUUUAUCUUUCUGCCUUUACAUCUUCGUCUGCUUUGUAUCAGGCCGGCGUUCCUGAUGGAGUGAUCAAUGUUGUAACCGGUUUCGGACCAACGGCCGGUGCUGCAAUAACCAGUCAUAUGGACAUUGAUAUGGUAUGAUUCCGAUAUCUAUCUUUCAUGAAAUUUUCUAUUAAUGUACCGCAUAACAUAGGUCGAAUUUGUGAAUAUGUGCUUGUAAGGUUUUAGCUUGGACUAAUACGGCAUGAAAACCUCACUUCAGGUCAGUUUUACGGGGUCUACAGAAGUGGGGCGCAUCGUGAUGCAGGCUGCAGCAAUAAGCAAUUUGAAACAAGUGUCACUCGAAUUAGGUGGGAAAUCGCCUAUUAUGAUCUUUGAUGAUGCUGAUUUAGAUACUGCUACGGAUCUUGCUCUAAUAGGUAUCGCCUAUAACAAGGUAAGGUGUCUGACUUUUUUGUGGAAUUUGUAAAAAUAGAGAAUAAGCUCCGAAUACCCAAAAUCGUGACGGUUUCUUGAUUGAAACCUAUGUUUCAGGGAGAAAUAUGCGUCGCGGGCUCUCGCGUUUAUGUUCAGGAAGGGAUCUAUGAAGAGUUUGAGAAGAAGCUGGUGGCAAAGGCAAAGGCUUGGCCAGUCGGUGACCCGUUUGAUCCGAAAGUCCAACAAGGACCGCAGGUAAGAUCGAACACUUGUAGGAAGUAAGAACUGGCUAGAUUUUGCGAUAAAGGAUAUGGUUGACAAUUAGCCUGACUCGAAUUAAGGUAAAUUCUAGGUCGAUAAGAAACAAUUUGAGAAGAUACUUUCUUACAUUGAGCAUGGAAAGAGAGAAGGGGCCAUGCUUUUGACUGGAGGCGAGCGUUUGGGCACCAAAGGGUACUACAUUCAGCCAACAAUCUUCACAAAUGUUAAGGUACACUAUCAAUUUACAACACAUUCCUUAAAGAACAUGAAGUAGUGAAUUGAGAGGAACUGAACUUCUGAUUGUUUUGCGUUCUUGUCAAACUAUCUACUUCCAUCAGGAGGACAAUGUGAUCAUGAAGGAUGAGAUUUUUGGUCCCGUCAUGUCGCUCAUGAAAUUCAAGUGAGUAGAAACCUCUAUUGCUCCCUAAAGUUAUUGCUUACCUGGUUCUGAUGCAUUUGGGCCACUACUCUGUAGCUGAAUUAGAGAGAACUAUUGUAGUACAUUGUGCUUCACUCAUCAUUUUAUGGCGGAUUGUAGGACUGUGGAGGACGCGAUCAAGAGGGCUAAUGAUACGAGAUAUGGCCUAGCAGCAGGGAUUGUGACAAAGAACAUAGAUGUGGCGAACACGGUCUCGAGGUCAAUCCGAGCAGGCGUCAUCUGGAUAAACUGCUACUUUGCAUUCGACAACGACUGUCCUUAUGGUGGCUACAAGACAAGUGGCUUUGGGAGAGAUCUUGGUUUGGAUGCCCUCCACAAAUACCUACAUGUUAAAUCUAUUGUGACCCCGCUUUAUAACUCUCCAUGGCUUUAAGAGAAUUUUCUGGGAAAAGAGCUUUGUGUCAUAUGGUGGCUCAAAUAAUGUGUAAUUCCAAAUUAUAAAUAAUAUUUGCAAG
rnacentral:lncRNA from 1 species